rnacentral:rRNA from 1 species
UACGUAGGGUGCAAGCGUUAAUCGGAAUUACUGGGCGUAAAGCGUGCGCAGGCGGUUAUGUAAGACAGAUGUGAAAUGCCCGGGCUUAACCUGGGAACUGCAUUUGUGACUGCAUGGCUAGAAUCUGGCAGAGGGGGGUAGAAUUCCACGUGUAGCAGUGAAAUGCGUAGAUGUGUGGAGGAACACCGGAUGGCGGAAGGCAGCCCCCUGGGUCAAGAUUGACGCUCGAUGCACGAAAGCGUGGGGAGCAAACAGG